GAUGAAGAACGUAGCGAAAUGCGAUAAGUAGUGUGAAUUGCAGAAUUCAGUGAAUCAUCGAAUCUUUGAACGCACAUUGCGCCCCUUGGUAUCCCGAGGGGCAUGCCUGUUCGAGCGUCAUUUCACCACUCAAGCCUGGCUUGGUGUUGGGCGACGUCCCCUUUGGGGACGCGCCUCGAAACGCUCGGCGGCGUGGCACCGGCUUUAAGCGUAGCAGAAUCUUUCGCUUUGGAAGUCGGGGCCCCGUCUGCCGGAAGACCUACUCGCAAGGUUGACCUCUGAUCAGGCAGGGAUACCCGCUGAACUUAAGCAUAUCAAUAAGCGGAGGA
rnacentral:misc_RNA from 1 species